rnacentral:lncRNA from 1 species
AUGAAAUUAAAAAUAAGUUUCAAAUUCAUAAUUUAUUUACAAAAUUCAGUUGGAUUCAGUUUCAAUUGAAUGGUGAUGCUUUUUGUCCUGUAGUUCUGUUCUAGACAAGUUCAGAAGAUAGCUCAGGAUUCACAGGAUUGUCAAAGGCAGAACUGUAAAGAUAUGCAGAAUCAGCUCAAGAGGAGACAAGCAUCACUGAUGAAGGGCAAAUUGUUGUCAACAUGGGAUUCAGCCCUCAGUGUUAUUAGAACUUCCAGUAACAUUGAAAGUGACAGAUAUUUAAGUUUGGCUUUGAGUUCCACCCCCUGCUCUUUUGGGCUCUUCCCCCCUGGAGUCCGGAGGAGAAACAGUCCAGAGUCAAAACCAGGAGAAAAACCUCUGGUGAGCUCUGGGCCACAGUCGCUCGCCUCAUCUUCUUCCAUCAUAUGCCAAGCCUGGAUCAUAAAACAGUUUUAUUUUUCAUUUACCAGGGGACAGUCAUUUCUGAGUGGAAUCAUUCAAACCUGAAUGUAAGCCUGUCAUUUGUGACAAUUUAUUUACCAAGAUUUAAUGGCCUUUGCUCAGUCCAAGUGUGGAUUUUAAUAGUUGGCUAUUUACCUGGAAGAAUGUGGAUUUUUUGCCUCUUUUCCAAUGUGGCUGUGGUCAUCAGUCAAGGAUGUUCCCACGCGGAAGCUGCUGUGGGAGAAAUGGAAUGAGGCGGCUGACCGGCUGUCUCUGUCACGGAUGAGGCUGAAAGAGAAUGGAUCACAAGGACAAGGCUCUGAGCAGGAGGUGAUUACUGCAGACUUUGAUGAGUAUAAGAGGUAGCAGGUAAUUACUUGUAAAUGAAACCUUUAGCCUAACUCACAUUUCAGACGUAAUUCUCAUAAGAAUGUGUUUACAUACAGUACAGGAGUGCAAAUUCUUUAGCAUCUUUAAGUGUUGCAUAUCAUUGUACUGUCCUUUUUGAUUCUGUUAUUUUCUAUUUUUGUUGUUAAUUCAUGUUAAUUAAUGAACAAAAUGCAUGACAACAGGUUGUGUGUGUUCACAAAAGACACAAAAAGCACAAGCAGUUUAACAGCCUUAUUCAGUAUAUCAUUUGUGCCUUCAUGACUCUGAUGUUCUGUGAUCUUUUCCAAAGUUCAAAUAAAGAUUUAAU